UAAGACCUCCAUACUUUCGCCUUUAAUUUCUCCUGGGACGCUUGCAAAAAUUGCCUGCGAGGUCUUAUAUGGAAAACUAAUAAACUUUAAUGGUGGUUUUUGAGGCUCCAAAGGACCGAAUUGGCCUUCCAACGUGUAACGAAAGUACAGCUGUGGUUAGGCAGCUGGAUUGGCCCUCGUAGCCCUCUGUCUUCCCACCGCCUGCACUGAAGCGGAUGAAAACAAACACUUACGAUGGCGGCGCCGGGAAGCGACUGGUUGCUCGGUUAAGGCAAGAAUGAUCGCUUGACGGGCGACAGGAGCGGCGAAGAGAACCAGUCGCCCUGAGUGUGACAACUUGCUCAGUCCUUGGAGCCGAACGCCCGGGUCCUGCGAGUCCGGAGCUUCCGAAGGCGUGGGGUGUCUUAUCUGCGACCUGUGCUGUCACUGCAGCUCCGGAGCGCGGCCCCUUACCCAGGACGCGCGGCUGGCCGGCCCCGGGCCCCGGCCUCCGUAAUGAGAGCCCCGAGCCACUCUCUGUGCCGCAGCUUCACAGUGGAACGACCUGUGGAAACCUGCGAUCCCUUCUCAUUAAAUAAAUCUCUGGGUAAGUGGCUAAAGCAUCUUCUUGGGCGAAUCACUAACACAUCUCGGUUUUCACUUUCCCAGUCAUUUAGUUCCCAGUUAGUCAGGGUAAUUCAGCAUCUCACUUUCAGUGUUUUUUGAGACUAAGGUCUGGGGCUCGCUAUGUUGGGCUAGGCUGGGCCUUCAAGAACUAGGCUCCAGCCAUCCUUACUAAGUAGAUAGGACUACAGGCACUCACUAUCUCGCCUACCUUGGAAUCAUAUGUACAUAUGUGUAUGGGGACUGAACUCAGGAUCUUGCACAUGCUAGGCAAGGUCUUUACCACUGAGCUGGAUCCACAGCCAACAAUGCUUUUAAUACUAAUCCGUAGUAAAAUAUAUGUAGCUAAUUUGACACGCUGUUUUCAAAGUGUAAAUAUAGGCUGGCAAUUCUCAUAACUUAAAUUCCAUAAACUACUGUUUAAAAUCUCUUGACCGUUGCUGUACUUAAUAUCUAGCAUCACGUUGUUUUUUGGUUUUUGUUUUUUUUUUCCCUCAUACUGGAGUUUGAACUCAGAGACUCAUCCUUGUUAGGCAGUUGAUCUACCACUUGCACCACUCUGACAGCCCUUUUUUUGUUUGGAAAUUUUCGAGAUAAGGUCUUGAGAACUAUUUGCCCAGGCUAGCCUCUAACAGAUCUCCUAAUCUCUGCCUCCCAAGUAGCUAGGAUUGCAGGCAUGCGCCAUUUUACCAGCUCUGAGGAAUUUACUCUUGAAUAAAACUUACCUAAAUUUUGUAUGUGG
rnacentral:lncRNA from 1 species